GGCGCGAUGGCGGAGUGGUUAACGCGAGAGACUAGAAUUUGACUGACAAAGUCAAUCAUUACUAAUCUCUUCUCUUCGGAGGCGUAGGUUCGAAUCCUGCUCGCGUCG
rfam:Paracoccidioides brasiliensis Pb18 unplaced genomic scaffold supercont2.8, whole genome shotgun sequence.